rnacentral:ncRNA from 1 species
GGACGUGGGAAGAAGCAGGCAAAGUUGCAUGUUGUGAUCCCACGAGGGUGAGCUAACCCUAAAAACCCGUCCUCAGUUCGGAUUGCAGGCUGUGACUCGCCUGCAUGAAACCAGAAUCGCUAGUAAUUGCCGGUCAGCCAUAUGGUGGUGAAUUCGUUCCC